CGCAAAAGUGCCUCUGAGGCUGUCUAUAUGAAUGCCUAACUUUCCAUUCACUGUUUCUUAUUCAUCACUGUGAGGUGCUAAUUUCCAAUUCUGUGUCAUUUCUGUCUUGUUUAAGACAGUUACAGCCAGGAACCAGAAAACGUUUUCUGUCAUCCAGCGCACCAACUGAGGUGAAUGGUGGCAAAUCAAACAAGCAUCCUUGCCGCAGGUUAUUGUCAGCAGGCAUGGUGACUCCACAAAUAUUGGGUUUCCCUACCCUGGGCUUGUCCAGGUUGCAGCUGACAUCAGAUGACCAUCAGCAUCACCUCUCAUGUGGUUCAGUCUCAGCUUAUUCCUGGGAUGUGCCAACACACAAUCUAGGGAAGAGACAAGGAACUGCCCAAUUACCUUGUAAAACCAGGAUCCUGCUGACUGCAUCAGUCAGCAUGGAGAGACCCUGCUGCGGACCCAAACUCGGUUUGUUGAGCACGAUUGACCCAUGUGGUGAAGGUUCUACAAGUGGAAUACAAAUCUUCCUUUAUGCACAUGGGAUAUGGGGCUGAUGGUCUGAAAACUUGGUGGAGGGGAUGCUGGGACAGUAUUGUUUCAAAUGACAACAUUCAUGGCUGCACUUUAAUACAAAAGGAAAAUGUCUUUAAUCAGAGCUGUUUCAGAAUUCACAUUUGAAAUGUUUCGUGGACAGUUAGUUUCCACAGCAUGAAAAAUACGCAAUGGAAAAA
rnacentral:lncRNA from 1 species